rnacentral:misc_RNA from 1 species
UCCGGCUUAUCACCGGCGGUUUCUUUAGAGUGCCCAACUAAAUGAUGGCAACUAAAGACGAGGGUUGCACUCGUUGCGGGACUUAACCCAACAUCUCACGACACGAGCUGGCGACAGCCAUGCAGCACCUGUGUUCCGGCUCCCUUUCGGGCACUCCCAACUCUCAUCAGGAUUCCGGACAUGUCAAGGGUAGGUAAGGUUUUUCGCGUUGCAUCGAAUUAAUCCACAUCAUCCACCGCUUGUGCGGGUCUCCGUCAAUUCCUUUGAGUUUUAACCUUGCGGCCGUAGUCCCCAGGCGGUGAACUUAAUGCGUUAGCUGCGGCACUGAUCGGGUCAAUCCGACCAACACCUAGUUCACAACGUUUAGGGCGUGGACUAC